GAUGAACGCUGACAGAAUGCUUAACACAUGCAAGUCUACCAAGAAUCACUUCGGUGAGGAAUGGUGGCGGACGGGUGAGUAACGCGUAAAUAAUCUGCCCUUUAGACUGGGAUAUCCUUUGGAAACGAAGGUUAAUACCGGAUAUUAUGAGAUGGACGCAUGUUCAACUUAUGAAAGCUAAAUGCACUAGAGGAGGAGUUUGCGUCCCAUUAGCUAGUUGGUGAGGUAAAGGCUCACCACGGCCACGAUGGGUAGCCGGCCUGAGAGGGUGAAAGGCCACAAGGGAACUGAGACGCGGUCCUUACUCCUACGGGAGGCAGCAGUGGGGAAUAUUGGACAAUGGACCAAAAGUCUGAUCCAGCAAUUCUGUGUGCACGAUGAAGGUCUUCGGAUUGUAAAGUGCUUUCAGUAGGGAAGAAAAAAAUGACGGUACCUACAGAAGAAGCGACGGCUAAAUAUGUGCCAGCCGCCGCCGUAA
rnacentral:rRNA from 1 species